rnacentral:lncRNA from 1 species
UUUUUCCACUAGUGAGUAUUUUACUGUUGUAUUAGUUUGGUGUUUGCGUGAGUGAGAGAAAUGGUGGGAGCCUAGGCUUUACUCCCUAUAUGGAGUUGUUUGAGAGAAAAGUGUUUUACUUUAAGUGAAUAAAAGGGAGUGGGAUCCACGUUGUGAGCAAUGAAAAUGAGAGUAGUAAUGGGAGAGAAGUACAUUUCUAGUGCAAAGAACAAUUCCAAUAACCAAGGUUUGUGUGGUGAUUCUUUUUCAUAGUAAAAUAAAAAGAAUUUUAGUAUUAUUUGUGGGACCCACUUUGUAAAGGUUGUCAUGAUAUUAUAGGUGUGAACAAAGAAAUAG